GAUGAACGCUGGCGGCGUGCCUAAUACAUGCAAGUCGAGCGAAUGGAUUAAGAGCUUGCUCUUAUGAAGUUAGCGGCGGACGGGUGAGUAACACGUGGGUAACCUGCCCAUAAGACUGGGAUAACUCCGGGAAACCGGGGCUAAUACCGGAUAACAUUUUGAACCGCAUGGUUCGAAACUGAAAGGCGGCUUCGGCUGUCACUUAUGGAUGGACCCGCGUCGCAUUAGCAAGUUGGUGAGGUAACGGCUCACCAAGGCAACGAUGCGUAGCCGACCUGAGAGGGUGAUCGGCCACACUGGGACUGAGACACGGCCCAGACUCCUACGGGAGGCAGCAGUAGGGAAUCUUCCGCAAUGGACGAAAGUCUGACGGAGCAACGCCGCGUGAGUGAUGAAGGCUUUCGGGUCGUAAAACUCUGUUGUUAGGGAAGAACAAGUGCUAGUUGAAUAAGCUGGCACCUUGACGGUACCUAACCAGAAAGCCACGGCUAACUACGUGCCAGCAGCCGCAGUAA
rnacentral:rRNA from 1 species